ensembl:snoRNA
UUCAUUUUGUAGUUCAUAAGUAUGUUGAGUAUUACAAGCAUGUGUGAGCUGUGUCUCCCUCAAACCUUGUUAUGAUGUCGACAUAUUUAUCACAUUAGACA